UUAAGUUAGAAAGGGCGCACGGUGGAUGCCUUGGCACUAGGAGCCGAUGAAGGACGGGACGAACACCGAUAUGCUUCGGGGAGCUGUAAGCAAGCUUUGAUCCGGAGAUUUCCGAAUGGGGAAACCCACCACUCGUAAUGGAGUGGUAUCCAUAUCUGAAUACAUAGGAUAUGAGAAGGCAGACCCGGGGAACUGAAACAUCUAAGUACCCGGAGGAAGAGAAAGCAAAUGCGAUUCCCUGAGUAGCGGCGAGCGAAACGGGACCAGCCCAAACCAAGAGGCUUGCCUCUUGGGGUUGUAGGACACUCUGUACGGAGUUACAAAGGAACGAGGUAGAUGAAGAGGUCUGGAAAGGCCCGCCAUAGAAGGUAACAGCCCUGUAGUCAAAACUUCGUUCUCUCCUGAGUGGAUCCUGAGUACGGCGGAACACGUGAAAUUCCGUCGGAAUCCGGGAGGACCAUCUCCCAAGGCUAAAUACUCCCUAGUGACCGAUAGUGAACCAGUACCGUGAGGGAAAGGUGAAAAGCACCCCGGAAGGGGAGUGAAAGAGAUCCUGAAACCGUGUGCCUACAAGUAGUCAGAGCCCGUUAACGGGUGAUGGCGUGCCUUUUGUAGAAUGAACCGGCGAGUUACGAUCCCGUGCAAGGUUAAGCAGAAGAUGCGGAGCCGCAGCGAAAGCGAGUCUGAAUAGGGCGAAUUGAGUACGUGGUCGUAGACCCGAAACCAGGUGAUCUACCCAUGUCCAGGGUGAAGUUCAGGUAACACUGAAUGGAGGCCCGAACCCACGCACGUUGAAAAGUGCGGGGAUGAGGUGUGGGUAGGGGUGAAAUGCCAAUCGAACCUGGAGAUAGCUGGUUCUCUCCGAAAUAGCUUUAGGGCUAGCCUCAAGGUAAGAGUCUCGGAGGUAGAGCACUGAUUGGACUAGGGGCCCCUACCGGGUUACCGAAUUCAGUCAAACUCCGAAUGCCGAUGACUUAUCCUUGGGAGUCAGACUGCGAGUGAUAAGAUCCGUAGUCGAAAGGGAAACAGCCCAGACCGCCAGCUAAGGUCCCAAAGUAUACGUUAAGUGGAAAAGGAUGUGGAGUUGCUUAGACAACCAGGAUGUUGGCUUAGAAGCAGCCACCAUUUAAAGAGUGCGUAAUAGCUCACUGGUCGAGUGACUCUGCGCCGAAAAUGUACCGGGGCUAAACGUAUCACCGAAGCUGCGGACUGUUCUUCGAACAGUGGUAGGAGAGCGUUCUAAGGGCUGUGAAGCAAGACCGGAAGGACUUGUGGAGCGCUUAGAAGUGAGAAUGCCGGUAUGAGUAGCGAAAGAGGGGUGAGAAUCCCCUCCACCGAAUGCCUAAGGUUUCCUGAGGAAGGCUCGUCCGCUCAGGGUUAGUCGGGACCUAAGCCGAGGCCGAAAGGCGUAGGCGAUGGAUAACAGGUUGAUAUUCCUGUACCACCUCCUCACCAUUUGAGCAAUGGGGGGACGCAGGAGGAUAGGGUAAGCGCGGUAUUGGAUAUCCGCGUCCAAGCAGUUAGGCUGGGAAAUAGGCAAAUCCGUUUCCCGUGAAGGCUGAGCUGUGAUGGCGAGCGAAUUAUAGUAGCGAAGUUCCUGAUUCCACACUGCCAAGAAAAGCCUCUAGCGAGGUGAGAGGUGCCCGUACCGCAAACCGACACAGGUAGGCGAGGAGAGAAUCCUAAGGUGAUCGAGAGAACUCUCGUUAAGGAACUCGGCAAAAUGACCCCGUAACUUCGGGAGAAGGGGUGCUCUGUUAGGGUGCAAGCCCGAGAGAGCCGCAGUGAAUAGGCCCAGGCGACUGUUUAGCAAAAACACAGGUCUCUGCGAAGCCGUAAGGCGAAGUAUAGGGGCUGACGCCUGCCCGGUGCUGGAAGGUUAAGAGGAGCGCUUAGCGUAAGCGAAGGUGCGAAUUGAAGCCCCAGUAAACGGCGGCCGUAACUAUAACGGUCCUAAGGUAGCGAAAUUCCUUGUCGGGUAAGUUCCGACCCGCACGAAAGGCGCAACGAUCUGGGCACUGUCUCAACGAGAGACUCGGUGAAAUUAUAGUACCUGUGAAGAUGCAGGUUACCCGCGACAGGACGGAAAGACCCCGUGGAGCUUUACUGCAGCCUGAUAUUGAAUGUUGGUACAGCUUGUACAGGAUAGGUAGGAGCCUUGGAAACCGGAGCGCCAGCUUCGGUGGAGGCAUCGGUGGGAUACUACCCUGGCUGUAUUGACCUUCUAACCCGCCGCCCUUAUCGGGCGGGGAGACAGUGUCAGGUGGGCAGUUUGACUGGGGCGGUCGCCUCCUAAAAGGUAACGGAGGCGCCCAAAGGUUCCCUCAGAAUGGUUGGAAAUCAUUCGCAGAGUGUAAAGGCACAAGGGAGCUUGACUGCGAGACCUACAAGUCGAGCAGGGACGAAAGUCGGGCUUAGUGAUCCGGUGGUUCCGCAUGGAAGGGCCAUCGCUCAACGGAUAAAAGCUACCCCGGGGAUAACAGGCUUAUCUCCCCCAAGAGUCCACAUCGACGGGGAGGUUUGGCACCUCGAUGUCGGCUCAUCGCAUCCUGGGGCUGUAGUCGGUCCCAAGGGUUGGGCUGUUCGCCCAUUAAAGCGGUACGCGAGCUGGGUUCAGAACGUCGUGAGACAGUUCGGUCCCUAUCCGUCGCGGGCGCAGGAAAUUUGAGAGGAGCUGUCCUUAGUACGAGAGGACCGGGAUGGACGCACCGCUGGUGUACCAGUUGUUCUGCCAAGGGCAUCGCUGGGUAGCUAUGUGCGGACGGGAUAAGUGCUGAAAGCAUCUAAGCAUGAAGCCCCCCUCAAGAUGAGAUUUCCCAUUCCGCAAGGAAGUAAGAUCCCUGAAAGAUGAUCAGGUUGAUAGGUCUGAGGUGGAAGUGUGGCGACACAUGGAGCUGACAGAUACUAAUCGAUCGAGGACUUAACC
rnacentral:rRNA from 1 species